CCUCACCCUCUUCGGCCUCCUCCUUUCUCUCCCUCGCCCAAUGGCCUUCCCAUCACCCUUUGCCUCCUCGCCGCCUUCACUGGCCAUUGUGAAGACUGUUGGUUGGAUGUCUGGCCAGAACACUACCUCCCAAGAUCUUUUUGAUACUGCGCAAUGCAGCAGGAAGAAAGAAGAAAUAAAACAGAAAACAAUCAAAUACAUGGAUCAGUCAAAAAAGAGCUCACCUCCACGGGACAUGCAAACUUUACUAUG
rnacentral:lncRNA from 1 species